CCUACGGGAGGCAGCAGUGAGGAAUAUUGGUCAAUGGGCGUAAGCCUGAACCAGCCAAGCCGCGUGAGGGAUGAAGGUUCUAUGGAUCGUAAACCUCUUUUAUAAGGGAAUAAAGUGUGGGACGUGUACUUUUUUGUAUGUAACUUACGAAUAAGGACCGGCUAACUCCGUGCCAGCAGCCGCGGUAAUACGGAGGAUUCGAGCGUUAUCCGGAUUUAUUGGGUUUAAAGGGUGCGUAGGCGGCCGUUUAAGUUAGCGGUGAAAGUCUGUGGCUCAACCAUGGAAUUGCCGUUGAAACUGGUGGGCUUGAGUAUGUUUGAGGCAGGCGGAAUGCGUGGUGUAGCGGUGAAAUGCUUAGAUAUCACGCAGAACCCCGAUUGCGAAGGCAGCCUGCCAAGCCAUGACUGACGCUGAUGCACGAAAGCGUGGGGAUCAAACAGGAUUAGAUACCCCUGUAGUC
rnacentral:rRNA from 1 species